rnacentral:rRNA from 1 species
ACCCGCUGAACUUAAGCAUAUCAAUAAGCGGAGGAAAAGAAACUAACAAGGAUUCCCCUAGUAACUGCGAGUGAAGCGGGAAAAGCUCAAAUUUGAAAUCUGGUAGUCUUCGAUUGCCCGAGUUGUAAUCUAGAGAAGUGUUACCCGCGUUGGACCGUGUACAAGUCUCCUGGAAUGGAGCGUCAUAGAGGGUGAGAAUCCCGUCUUUGACACGGACUGCCAAGGCUUUGUGGUGCGCUCUCAAAGAGUCGAGUUGUUUGGGAAUGCAGCUCAAAAUGGGUGGUAAAUGCCAUCUAAAGCUAAAUACAGGCGAGAGACCGAUAGCGAACAAGUACCGUGAGGGAAAGAUGAAAAGAACUUUGGAAAGAGAGUUAAACAGUACGUGAAAUUGCUGAAAGGGAAACGCUUGAAGUCAGUCGCGUUGGCUGGGAAUCAACCUUGCUUUUGCUUGGUGUACUUUCUAGUUAACGGGUCAGCAUCAGUUUUGAUCAGUGGAUAAAGGCAUGAGAAAUGUGGCUUCCUCGGAAGUGUUAUAGUCUUGUGUUGUAUACAUUGGUUGGGACUGAGGAACUCAGCACGCCGCAAGGCCGGGGUUCGCCCACGUUCGUGCUUAGGAUGCUGGCAAAAUGGCUUUAAUCGACCCGUCUUGAAACACGG